GCGGGAGAAAAACGCGUGGCUGGAGAAAAAUAUUUAAAAAUGAAUAAGAAAUAAAAGAUAAGGAUGCUCUAAUUAAGAACCUGCAGGCUCAAUUAUUGCAACAGCAGAAAAUAUUAGGUGACAACAAAACUAAGGAUGCUCAAACUUUGAGUCUACAAGCGCAGUUACUGGAAAAAACAAGUUAGAACGGGACACUUUCCAAACAGUGAAGGAGGUUUUUCAAAACUCAUCCCUAACUGAACGUGAGGAUGAGUUGGCAUUAGGUGAACACAGUCAGUUAUUCAGUCCACCACCUGACAGUGUGUUAAAUUUAAAUUCUGUUAGUGCUGCACUAAAAGAAUUGUUAGUAAUAAGUCCAUGCAGCGAAGGAACUGGAGAAUUGUGGUACUGUAUUUGGGCGGAAAAUGGGUGUGGUAUGGAAACACAGAAAUGGCAUGAGUUCAACCUAAAACA